rnacentral:rRNA from 1 species
CCUACGGGAGGCAGCAGUGAGGAAUAUUGGUCAAUGGGCGCGCGCCUGAACCAGCCAAGUAGCGUGAAGGAUGACUGCCCUACGGGUUGUAAACUUCUUUUAUAAAGGCAUAAAGUGAGGCACGUGUGCCUUUUUGUAUGUCCUUUAUGAAUAAGGAUCGGCUAACUCCGUGCCAGCAGCCGCGGUAAUACGGAGGAUCCGAGCGUUAUCCGGAUUUAUUGGGUUUAAAGGGAGCGUAGAUGGAUUGUUAAGCCAGUUGUGAGAGUUUGCGGCUAAACCGUAAAAUUGCAAUUGAUACUGGGAGCCAUGAGGACAGUUGAGGUAGGGGGAAUUCGUGGUGUAGCGGUGAAAUGCUUAGAUAU